rnacentral:rRNA from 1 species
GCAUGACUGUCGUCAGCUCGAGUCGUAAGAUGUUGGGUUAAGUCCCGAAACGAGCGCAACCCUUGUCCCUAGUUGCCAGCAAGUAAUGGUGGGAACUCUAGGGAGGCCGCCGGUGACAAACCGGAGGAAGGUGGGGAUGACGUCAAGUCAUCAUGGCCCUUACGGCCAGGGCUACACACGUACUACAAUGGGAAGGACAGAGGGCCGCGAUCCCGCGAGGGGGAGCCAAUCCCAGAAACCUUCUCUCAGUCCGGAUCGGAGUCUGCAACUCGACUCCGUGAAGUCGGAAUCGCUAGUAAUCGCAGAUCAGCAUUGCUGCGGUGAAUACGUUCCCGGGCCUUGUACACACCGCCCGUCACACCAUGGGAGUGGGUUGCUCCAGAAGUCGCUAGUCUAACCUUCGGGGGGACGGUGACCACGGAGUGAUUCAUGACUGGGGUGAAGUCGUAACAAGGUA